AACACCGUUCAUCUACUGGAUCAGGACGGUCAGUUCUUGUCGUUUCUUCUCACAGAGGAGCACGGGAUAUAUAAUCCCCUUAGUGUAUGUGUGGAUGCGGAUAACAAUCUUCAUGUGGGACAAUAUAACACGAACAAAGUGAAAGUGUACGAGUUUCUAGAGUGACCAUUACUUAGUUGAAAGUAAUCAUAUCAAGAUCUGCACACAAUGAGUGUGAAAUUUAGCCUUAUAAUACACCAAUUUCAGUAUUUGAUUGUAUGUUGUAAUGAAAAUGAAAUGACUGAAUAAAAAGGAUCACUUACU
rnacentral:sRNA from 1 species